UACAUGGGGGUGCAAACGUUGCUCGGAAUUAUUGGGCGUAAAGCGCACGUAGGCGGUUCGUUAAGUCGGAUGUGAAAGCCCGUCCGGCUCAACUGAGGAAGUGCACCCGAAACUGGCGAGCUUGAGUACGAAAGAGGAUCGCGGAAUUCCCGGUGUAGAGGUGAAAGUUCGUAGAUAUCGGGGAAGGAACACCAGUGGCGGAAGGCGGUUGCCCUGGGGCUUUGCUGACG
rnacentral:rRNA from 1 species